CUGGAACAUGUAUGUGUGUCUCUCUGGUCUGGUUGGUGUGGUUCUGUUGGACUCUACAGGUGAAGCUGUUGCUGUGUCUCUUCUCCACAGUCACUCUGCUGCUGACAGUAUAGAGGUCAUCAGGACCUCUGACUGUCUCUGUAGGUCCAGCAGAGAGGAGGUUUCCCUCACCGUCCAGCCAGAACACCUCAGGCUUGGGAUACCAGCCAGCAGACUUACACUGUAGAACUACUGCUCCUUUGAUUAGGUCAUUCUGUGAUAGACUGAUGACCAGUGAGGAACC